rnacentral:rRNA from 1 species
AUUGAACGCUGGCGGUAUGCUUAACACAUGCAAGUCGAACGGUAACAUAAGAGAGCUUGCUCUCUUGAUGACGAGUGGCGGACGGGUGAGUAAUAUAUAGGAACCUUCCUCAUAGUUUAGGAUAAGCACUCGAAAGAGUGUCUAAUACUGGAUGUGAACUACGGUUUAAAGCAGGGGAUCUUCGGACCUUGCGCUAUAAGAUGAGCCUAUGCAAGAUUAGCUAGUUGGGUGGGGGUAAAGGCUCACCAAGGGCAACGAUCUUUAGCUGGGUCUGAGAGGGAUGAUCAGCCACACUGGGGACU